rnacentral:rRNA from 1 species
UACGUAGGGUGCGAGCGUUGUCCGGAUUUAUUGGGCGUAAAGAGCUCGUAGGCGGUUUGUCGCGUCGGCCGUGAAAUCUCCACGCUUAACGUGGAGCGUGCGGUCGAUACGGGCAGACUUGAGUUCGGUAGGGGAGACUGGAAUUCCUGGUAUAGCGGUGAAAUGCGCAGAUAUCAGGAGGAACACCGGUGGCGAAGGCGGGUCUCUGGGCCGAUACUGACGCUGAGGAGCGAAAGCGUGGGGAGCGAACAGG